CGGCGGACGGGUGAGUAACGCGUGGGUAACCUACCCCAAAGUCCGGGAUAACAGCGGGAAACCGCUGCUAAUACCGGAUGCCUUUACCUUGGGGCAUCUUGAGGUAAAGAAAGGUAACGCUUUGGGAUGGGCCCGCGUCCCAUUAGCUAGUUGGUGAGGUAACGGCUCACCAAGGCGACGAUGGGUAGCCGGCCUGAGAGGGUGGACGGCCACACUGGGACUGAGACACGGCCCAGACUCCUACGGGAGGCAGCAGUAGGGAAUAUUGCGCAAUGGACGGAAGUCUGACACAGCGACGCCGCGUGAGCGAUGAAGGUCUUCGGAUCGUAAAGCUCUGUCCUUGGGGAAGAAGGUCUUCGGACUUGACGGUACCCAAGAAGAAAGCCCCGGCUAACUACGUGCCAGCAGCCGCGGUAAUACGUAGGGGGCGAGCGUUGUCCGGAAUUACUGGGCGUA
rnacentral:rRNA from 1 species